rnacentral:rRNA from 1 species
GACGAACGCUGGCGGCGUGCUUAACACAUGCAAGUCGAACGGGAGUAUUGAAGAAGCUUGCUUUAGAGAUACUUUAGUGGCGGACGGGUGAGUAACGCGUGAGGAGCUGUCCUAUGCAGGGGGGACAACAGCUGGAAACGGCUGCUAAUACCCCAUAAGCCGAGAGGUAAAAGGAUCAAUCCGGCAGAGGAGGUACUCGCGUCCUAUCAGCUAGUAGGUGAGGUAACGGCUCACCUAGGCGAAGACGGGUAGCCGGCCUGAGAGGGCGACCGGCCACACUGGGACUGAGACACGGCCCAGACUCCUACGGGAGGCAGCAGUGGGGAAUAUUGCACAAUGGGGGAAACCCUGAUGCAGCAACGCCGCGUGGAGGAAGAGGUUUUCGGAUUGUAAACUCCUGUCUUUUGGGACGAUAAUGACGGUACCAAAAGAGGAAGCCAACGGCUAACUACGUGCCAGCAGCCGACGGUAAUCAUACUCGUA